AAAUUGAAGAGUUUGAUCAUGGCUCAGAUUGAACGCUGGCGGCAGGCCUAACACAUGCAAGUCGAGCGGUAACACAGAGAGCUUGCUCUCGGGUGACGAGCGGCGGACGGGUGAGUAAUGUCUGGGAAACUGCCUGAUGGAGGGGGAUAACUACUGGAAACGGUAGCUAAUACCGCAUAACGUCGCAAGACCAAAGUGGGGGACCUUCGGGCCUCAUGCCAUCAGAUGUGCCCAGAUGGGAUUAGCUAGUAGGUGGGGUAAUGGCUCACCUAGGCGACGAUCCCUAGCUGGUCUGAGAGGAUGACCAGCCACACUGGAACUGAGACACGGUCCAGACUCCUACGGGAGGCAGCAGUGGGGAAUAUUGCACAAUGGGCGCAAGCCUGAUGCAGCCAUGCCGCGUGUAUGAAGAAGGCCUUCGGGUUGUAAAGUACUUUCAGCGAGGAGGAAGGCAUUAAGGUUAAUAACCUUGGUGAUUGACGUUACUCGCAGAAGAAGCACCGGCUAACUCCGUGCCAGCAGCCGCGGUAAUACGGAGGGUGCAAGCGUUA
rnacentral:rRNA from 1 species